AGAGUAAUAGCCGGGCUAAUAUAGGGCUUCUAACCAUAUAAAGGGGCGUUCAACUCUCUCCAUUACUCU
rnacentral:tRNA from 1 species